UGCCCAGCAACUCUUAUCCCUACCUCCUCGUGGUACUGGCCGAGGUAUGAGUAACCCCCGGUGGGAACUUUGGUCGUAUGCUGACAGGGAAGG
rfam:Aedes aegypti strain Liverpool supercont1.21 genomic scaffold, whole genome shotgun sequence.